rnacentral:rRNA from 1 species
AUACGGAGGAUCCGAGCGUUAUCCGGAUUUAUUGGGUUUAAAGGGUGCGUAGGUGGUUUGAUAAGUCAGCGGUGAAAGUUUGCAGCUUAACUGUAAAAUUGCAGUUGAUACUGUUAUUCUUGAGUGUACAUAAGGUAGGCGGAAUUCGUGGUGUAGCGGUGAAAUGCUUAGAUAUCACGAAGAACUCCAAUUGCGAAGGCAGCUUACCGGGGUACAACUGACGCUGAGGCACGAAAGUGUGGGUAUC